GUCAUGUUGGUAUAGUGGUUAGAGAGUGAGGCUAACAUCCUAAUAAUCAGAGGUUCGAUCCCCACAGUCGACA
rnacentral:tRNA from 1 species